CCCAGGUACUAGGAUUCAAGCAGUGGCCCGGCUUCCAAGCCAGGCCUGGGAAAGAAAAACCCCAGGGAGGAGCAAGAUAGACUCUCAAGGACCCACAGGAGCAGACUUACUGGCUUGGAGCCUCAGCAGGGACCAGGGGACACCUCAUCUCAGACUGCUUUCUACAGGUUUGGUUACAGAUGGUGAAUUGAGGCACAGAGUGACUAAGGAGCACUAGGAAUAGACAGUUGUGAACUUUGCGAGAUGCAGGAAGAAAUUGGAAACAGCCAGAUGCUUUUCAAACCUGCACUGGAUCCCUACUUCUGAGGUGGUCAAGCGUGCAUGGGAGAGAAAAAUACAGGUUGCAAAGGAGAAUUAAAAUGCUAAUACUGAAGGAUAAUAGUGCAGGAGAAUCAGAAGAGGGAAACUCACUAGUCUUUCCAUUGUUCAAGCUGCCUACAGUGC